rnacentral:rRNA from 1 species
UACGUGGGGAGCAAGCGUUGUCCGGAAUCAUUGGGCGUAAAGCGCGCGUAGGUGGCCUCAUAAGUCCGCUGUGAAAGUCAAAGGCUCAACCUUUGAAAGCCGGUGGAUACUGUGAGGCUAGAGUACGGAAGAGGCGAGUGGAAUUCCUGGUGUAGCGGUGGAAUGCGCAGAUAUCAGGAGGAACACCAAUAGCGAAGGCAGCUCGCUGGGACGUUACUGACACUGAGGCGCGAAAGCGUGGGGAGCGAACAGG